AAGAACGUUAUAUUUUGUUCUCGCUAACGAAACUGCCCGGACAUUGUUUCGAAUCUUGGUUGGUGCAGCCCCCGCCGUUGUCCAGUGUCACAAAAGGACAGCCGGCACGGGAGAAGCUGCGGCUUGUGCAACAUAAAUAGAGAUACCAAGCGAGAAGGGUGCAUCGAAGGUGCGACUACGACCGUGCCGACAACAGAUGGCUACGUUCAGUUCUGCCGAUGGACCAUAUUACGACCUGCUAUUAUCGGCCGGCCGAACAAAAUAAUUGAUCACCCCAAACCGAAGCCUUUGGACAGGACGCCGACGCGUGAACGCAGGGGAUGAUGAAACAUGCAGUGUAAACAUCUUAAAAGCAAAACGUAUUCGUGAGUAAUCCGGAGUACGAAAAAGUUCACUGGUUACACCAGUCAAGCACCUGUGGCAUUCUGUACGAGAAGGUCAGGCCGUAAGAUCGGGGGUUGAGCGAAAAGCUGUGAAAAAAGGGAACCUACAUCUCGAGUGAUCUUUCCUACCCUUCGUCAGUUGGCGACACCAUGCAACCCUCGGCAUCUACACCACCCAACAGGUGGCAGCACACCCUGGAACGUCAGGCAUUCAUCUUUCAAGUCAGAAAAAUUUCUAAUAUCCGAUUGAGACGUAAACUCGGUGUUAUAUACGAUACAAUAACUACAAUCGAUGUCACAUUUUAUUAAUACUAUUACAGUCGAAAGCUGUAUUAAAAGGAAGUUAUUUCCAAGAACUACAU
rnacentral:lncRNA from 13 species